AUAAAUUCUAUGAAGAGAAAGAGUAGGCUAGUUGAUCGUUCUGCAGAGAGUUGGUGUUAUGCUGAAAGCCAAUGUUCAAAGAUUAGUUGAAAAUCAUCUCUGAGAAGCAGAGCUGAAAUUUAUUUUAGUAAGCAAUGUAGGUAGUCCACCGUUAAAAGGAACACGUAUUAUAAUGUACGCUGAUGAGUGUUAUAAAUUAAUUUUUUAUAUUUUAGUUUAUAGAACUAGGGUGGUAACGCGAGUAUAACUCGUCCCUUAU
rnacentral:ncRNA from 1 species